CUGGCCUUGAAUGCAGUGGCUGAAAAUGAUCUUGAACUUUGGACUUCCUGCCUCUCCCAAGCUGUCACCCUAAACCCCCUGGGAGGUGACAGCUGGACCUCCUCCCACCUGCUAACACAUUAGGAAAUCUUAAGAGCUGUGGGUCGCAUAGGGUCCCUGUUGUGUCCAUCAAACAAGACACAAACCUCUUCUCCAAUCAUGCCAGCCCUGAACAGAGGCAGGCAAGGCAGAGGCAACUUCUAACUGAGUGAUUCGUGUUGCUGUGCUGGCCCCAUGUUGGUGGAAACAGAUGAUCAAGACAAAGAACCCCACAGAUGUAAGGGCAAGAACGGCUUGCUGACGCAGUUCACGCUACUGUUAACUUACAGGCAUGGUAACGUGGUUGUUCUUUUAAAAAUACAUUUCCUGCUAAUCAUCACAGUGUUUGCAUAUAUUUAUAGGUACAGCGUGACAUUUCAGUGCACGGCACACGGCACUGACUGCAUGAGGGCAGCUGCCACAGCUGUCUGUAGGAGGUCUAUGCUGAGGUCCAUCUCCUUAGUGUGAUUUUUCUCUCAGUUUUCCUGCAGGAUGAAAGUACUGGUUAUGUGUGAGAGGGUAAAGGACAGUAUAGUAAAUUGGGUAUCAAUAAUUAAGAAUAAAAACCUAGAGACAGAAGCACAAGGAGGCUAAUCAAACAGGUCUCCGAGCACUGAUCUAUGGUGGGGGCUCUGGAGUAUCGUACCGCAGAUUCCAGAUGUGUGCCAAAACUUGGCAAGAGCUGAUGCUGGACAUUAGUGUUCCUGGUAGCUGUGACAUGGCGCUCACAAAGACAGGUAUUUCCAUCCUAUUGGAUGCUAAGUGCUUCCUUGUUUAUCAUAAAGUUACCACACAGUAAAAUGGGAAAAAAUCAAACUGUCCAGUGACAGGCACUAAGGAAAACAUGGUGUGGCCGUUAAACUAUGGUAUGGCCACUUCUCUCUGAGAGGGUAAUGGGAGGCUUUCAGCCAGCUCUCUAUGACCUCCUGUUCACACAUGCUUGUUUGUAGUUUUCCCUAAACAGGAAAACACGGGUCAUGAAGAUCCCAGAAGGGACUCUUGACUGGCAGCUCAGCCCAGGUCAUCCUGGGUGACUGAGGGGAGCCCCAAGUCUAGUGACGAGUGCCUCUAUGAGAGAGAGAAAAGGACAUAAAGAGAGAAGGCCAUCAAAGAUGGAGGCAGUGGUCAGAGUGAAGUGGGCAUAAGCCAAGGAUCACCUAGAGCCACCAAGAGCUGGAAGAAUCAAGGCAGGCUCCUCCUUCAGAGCUCGGAGGCACCCCAGCCCCAUCAAAACUGGAGUUUGGACCUCUGCCCUCCAAGCCCGUGGCAGAAUGCAUUUCUGUUUUAAGCCGGCCAGUGUGUGGUCCUUUGUUCGGCAGCCAUGGGAAAUGGACGCCCUCGGUCCUCACCUCUAUAUAAGCAAUUCUUUCUGUCCUCAUUCUGACUGCGCACUGCUCACACAGUGGUAAUGGACACCAAGGAGAUAAGCAAGAGUGUGUGGGACUUUUCUGUUGGACCCCAAACCAUUCCCUCUACAGUGAAAGGGACAUGCAUGCAUUGUGGAGGCUCUGAGUGUGGGUUAUGGUGAAAUGAAACCAUUUCUGAGUGCCCAUCAUCUGGGUUUACUAAUUGGAAGCAGUCUUUGGCAUCCCACCAGCAAGUUCAACCAAACCAGCAGUCCCAGAAUACACUGCCUUGGGUUUUAUUGUUACAAACUGUUACUAUAUCUACAUAAGAUCCUAUCAAAGCAGUAUACUAUGUAGAGUGGCCAAAAAACUUAACUGAGGGCUCAUUUUAGGUUUAUGUCUGACCAAGUCCCAGUUAAUCUCUGUGCUGGCAUUUGGGUGCUAUGGAGUUAGAAGCACAGGCUUAGGUGUUCUGCCCUGCCCUGCAGCAGCCCUGGCCACUGGCCUCUUCUAUUUUCCCAGUCACCUGCUUCAGAAGAGGGUCCUGCAAAUGCUCUGAAGAACCAUGUUUUAUCAUGCAGCCCAGCAGAGAAGCCAGCACGUUCCCCGAAGAAAACAGAAGUCUGGAAAUACUUCAGAACUGCCGACAGCAACUUGGAGCCCCUUCCUGACCUCUACCUAGCACCGCUGCAGCAAAGAGUGGGAACAGAGCCCCAUAGCCAGCUCCUCUGGUACAUGAUACAUUCUGGAGACAAUAGUGGGUGCUGCUCAGCCGACCCUUCCUAACUGGGAGAGAGAGGCUAGCCCUCUCUCCUUCAGUCGCCAACUGCUCUCUUUUCUUUCUUCUUACUCCCAAGUCUGUUUUUUUCCAAAGCAGCCAGAGUGUAAAUCUAAGUUGAUAUGUUUUAUUUACCUAUUUAUAUUUUAUUAAAAUAUUUUUGAGAUAGCAUCUCAAAUA